UCACAACAGCGCUGCUCGGCGCUGCCCUGACCUGACCUCUGCAGAGGCCAUAUCGCCGUAAAUGCUUCACGGCCAAUGCAGCCUCCGGAUUGACCAUGUAGCGCCUUUAACAGCCAGCUUUGCAGUGACUCAUGAGAGUGCUAUUUUAAAAGGGCAAAUUGCAGGUCUCAAGCCACCAGUAUUCUGCCAGCAGGACAAUGAUGACGUCACGUUCGUAUGGUACAGGCCAGGAUGACUGGGACCUUCAGCAAGUAAAAGACAGGGGGAGGAGCAAUAUGAGUCUCAGAGGUCGUUACGCUGGCUGGGGAUGGUGAUGGAGGCUUUGGUGGUCCACACAACAAAGAAGCAGGUGUUUCUUCCAAUGAUGUGGAGCUAGCCUUGGACCUGGUGCUAGUAAGGAUGGUCUUCACGGAGGCGGUAAGACCCUCCCCCCUUGAUAUAGAAAUCCUUUGACUUCAUUGCCUCUUCAAUGGUAAGGUCCCUUGCACCAUAAGGACACUUGAUCUCCACCACUGCUGUGGUGCCCACAAAACCAUCUAGUGAGGCACCAAGGAUCCCAGACCCCGUGACUCAAAGCCCUCACUCCUGCACAUCAGUCCUUGUAGCCAUUUUGAAUGCCUUGAUGUCCUCCACUUUGCUAUCUGUGCCCCAAUACACAAAUAACCCCUGUGAUCUGAGGACUCUUUAUAGCAGUGACAUAUUAAAAUGCUUGGCCCUAACCCCUGCUACAUAAUUUCUGGCCCUUAGCCACUGAAGAUCCUCCUCUGUGGGCUCUCAGGACAGAAGGCUGUAGUCUUCGGCCGGGUACAGGUCCUCCACUGACUGCACCUGGUUGGGCAUGGCAGGCUUCCUCCACUCACGUUCCACAUCCGUGCCGCCGAUAUUGUGAACCACCAAAAUAGGCUGCAUGGCUACACUUACUGUAUGAUAUUCAUGGAAGCAUUUGAAUGUUAGAAUCCCCUGGUCACCUAUAGAGACCUGCCAAGAGGAAGGAUGUUAAGUGCCACAUGCCUUUCAAUGCAUGACUUUGAACACCUUGAAAAGGAUUUGUGGUAAGAAAUGUGUUUUAUAAAUAAAGUUUGAUUUGAUUGAUGACAUUACAAGGACGGUUCUGACCUAGAAUAUGUGGACAACUAUAAAUACCUAGGUGUCUGGCUAGACUGUAAACUCUCCUUCCAGUCUUAUAUUAAA